rnacentral:rRNA from 1 species
GACGAACGCUGGCGGCGUGCUUAACACAUGCAAGUCGAGCGGUAAGGCCCUUUCGGGGGUACACGAGCGGCGAACGGGUGAGUAACACGUGGGUGACCUGCCCUCAGCUCUGGGAUAAGCCUGGGAAACCGGGUCUAAUACUGGAUAUGACUCCAUGACGCAUGUUGUGGGGUGGAAAGCCUUGUGCGGCUGAGGAUGGGCCCGCGGCCUAUCAGCUUGUUGGUGGGGUGANGGCCUACCAAGGCGACGACGGGUAGCCGGCCUGAGAGGGCGACCGGCCACACUGGGACUGAGACACGGCCCAGACUCCUACGGGAGGCAGCAGUGGGGAAUCUUGCGCAAUGGGCGAAAGCCUGACGCAGCGACGCCG